rnacentral:rRNA from 1 species
GGGCGCACGGUGGAUGCCUUGACACUAGGAGUCGAUGAAGGACGGGACUAACGCCGAUAUGCUUCGGGGAGCUGUAAGUAAGCUUUGAUCCGAAGAUUUCCGAAUGGGGAAACCCACCAUACGUAAUGGUAUGGUAUCCUUAUCUGAAUACAUAGGGUAAGGAAGACAGACCCAGGGAACUGAAACAUCUAAGUACCUGGAGGAAGAGAAAGCAAAUGCGAUUUCCUGAGUAGCGGCGAGCGAAACGGAACAUAGCCCAAACCAAGAGGCUUGCCUCUUGGGGUUGUAGGACAUUCUAUACGGAGUUACAAAGGAACGAGGUAGACGAAGCGACCUGGAAAGGUCCGUCGUAGAGGGUAACAACCCCGUAGUCGAAACUUCGUUCUCUCUUGAAUGUAUCCUGAGUACGGCGGAACACGUGAAAUUCCGUCGGAAUCUGGGAGGACCAUCUCCCAAGGCUAAAUACUCCCUAGUGAUCGAUAGUGAACCAGUACCGUGAGGGAAAGGUGAAAAGCACCCCGGAAGGGGAGUGAAAGAGAUCCUGAAACCGUGUGCCUACAAAUAGUCAGAGCCCGUUAACGGGUGAUGGCGUGCCUUUUGUAGAAUGAACCGGCGAGUUACGAUCCCGUGCGAGGUUAAGCUGAAGAGGCGGAGCCGCAGCGAAAGCGAGUCUGAAUAGGGCGUUUAGUACGUGGUCGUAGACCCGAAACCAGGUGAUCUACCCAUGUCCAGGGUGAAGUUCAGGUAACACUGAAUGGAGGCCCGAACCCACGCACGUUGAAAAGUGCGGGGAUGAGGUGUGGGUAGCGGAGAAAUUCCAAUCGAACCUGGAGAUAGCUGGUUCUCCCCGAAAUAGCUUUAGGGCUAGCCUUAAGUGUAAGAGUCUUGGAGGUAGAGCACUGAUUGGACUAGGGGUCCUCAUCGGAUUACCGAAUUCAGUCAAACUCCGAAUGCCAAUGACUUAUCCUUAGGAGUCAGACUGCGAGUGAUAAGAUCCGUAGUCAAAAGGGAAACAGCCCAGACCGCCAGCUAAGGUCCCAAAGUGUGUAUUAAGUGGAAAAGGAUGUGGAGUUGCUUAGACAACUAGGAUGUUGGCUUAGAAGCAGCCACCAUUUAAAGAGUGCGUAAUAGCUCACUAGUCGAGUGACUCUGCGCCGAAAAUGUACCGGGGCUAAAUACACCACCGAAGCUGCGGAUUGAUACC